CCUUACAGAAUUUAAAUGAAUAUGUAGCUGCAUUAAUUGCGCUGAAGCAAAAAAUGAUUGAUGGAGAUCGUUUGCUGACAGAGUAUCAACAGAAAUGCAAUGAGCUUCAGUUUGCUGAAAGAGAAAUCUCUGCUCUUCGUUGCCAAGUAGAGCAGAUGCUGCAAAAAAUCCUGCCUCUGGAAAAAUGUCAGGAAGAGUUGGGCUCUUUGAAAGCAGAGCUGGAAGAGAAAAAGGUGUGUUCCUAA